UCUGGCUUAGUGUAACGGUAUCACGCGGAGUUUUGGUCUCCGAGAUUUAGGUUCGAUUCCUAGAGCCAGAACCA
rnacentral:tRNA from 5 species